GUGAGGAAUAUUGGGCAAUGGACGCAAGUCUGACCCAGCCAUGCCGCGUGCAGGAUGAAGGCCCUAUGGGUUGUAAACUGCUUUUGUAUGGGAAGAAACUCUCGCACGUGUGCGGGAUUGACGGUACCGUACGAAUAAGCAUCGGCUAACUCCGUGCCAGCAGCCGCGGUAAUACGGAGGAUGCAAGCGUUAUCCGGAUUCAUUGGGUUUAAAGGGUGCGUAGGCGGAAUGAUAAGUCAGUGGUGAAAUCCUGCGGCUUAACCGUAGAACUGCCGUUGAUACUGUCAUUCUUGAAUGCAGUUGAGGUGGGUGGAAUGUGUAAUGUAGCGGUGAAAUGCAUAGAUAUUACACAGAACGCCAAUUGCGAAGGCAGCUCACUAAGCUGUGAUUGACGCUGAGGCACGAAAGCGUGGGGAUCAAACAGGAUUAGAAACCCCUGUAGUCC
rnacentral:rRNA from 1 species